CUCUUGAGCUCUUGUGGUGACCUGGGAAUCAAUGUGUGAGGUGGUGCUAUGUAGCAGGAACCCCUCUUGCUUUGCAAAUAGUUUUUUGUUUGUUUUCCUUUUUGCCCAAUAGAGCCCUGCUCUACUGACCCUUCAAUGUGCCCGUGUGCCUAAAUAUUCCUGGUCGUGUGAAAAGAACCCAGGUAUUAGCUGAACUAAGGAGCACAAUUCUGCAACAUUUUGGCACCCAAACACGGGGCUUGAGAAAUGAAUGCAAUUGGAGAAACUGGUUGUUUUACCAGGCGUUGAUUGGAAAUGUGUGCUUCCCUUUAAGCAGUCAAGCUCAACUUGCAGAACUGAUGGGAACCCCUUGGGAAAACUGGCCUCAAAUGUUUGUCUACACAGUCCACAUACAGGGUUCUUAACCUGCGAUGGAGUCUUGUUCUGUGGUCCAGGCUAGAGGGCAGUGGCAUGAUCUCGGCUCACUACAAGCUCUGCCUCCCGGGUUCACGCCAUUCUCCUGCCUCAGCCUCCUGAGUAGCUGGGACUACAGGCGCCCGCCACCACGCCUGGCUAAUUUUUUGUAUAUUUACUAGAGAUGGCUAGUGUUAGCCAAGAUGGUCUCGAUCUCCUGACCUCGUGAUCUGCCCACCUCAGCCUGCCAAAGUGCUGGGAUUACUGGCGUGAGCCACCGUGCCUGGCCAGCAUCCUCUAAUUAUUAUUCAUAGUUUGUGAAUUUAGGCCUACGUGAAUAAUAAUAUAAUAUUUACUAUGAUGUUACUAUCUACCAACCUUAUUUUUCUUUUCUAUAAAAUAGGAGCCAAAAUAAUAUUUAUGUCAUACCUUAUGAAGUUAAAAUAAAAUAUAACGAAUGAGGGGCUUAACAAUGAGUGUCAUUUUGUAAUUACUUUGUACCAUUAUUAAUUGCUGAGACAGAAUAUGGUAUCACUAGUCAUCUGUAUCUAUUGCACAACUUUAUUUUGAUUCAUUCCUUACUAUUUUGCAUAGAUAGGCCUAAAUUUUUGAUCCACUGCUCAACUCCUGUCUUUAAACCAUUGGUUCUCAAAUAGAGUUGAUUUUGACACCUAGGGAACAUUUGACAACAUAUGGAGAUAUUGUUGAUUUUACAGGGCAACCCUUCAUAAGCACAGAAUUAUCUGGCCCCAAAUGUCGACAGUGUCAAGUUCGAGAAACUCUGCACUAGGCUUUUCUGUCUGGUUACUCACCCCUCUUCUUUGCACUGCCCCCAGUUUUAUGGAUAUUGAAUUCCUGAUUUCUCACUAUAUUAAUUGCACUUAUAGAUAUUCUAAAUUGAUUUGUAUAUAUCUUCCUAGUUUGACCCAUUGCUUUUAACUGAAUUUUACUGGGCUUUUAUAAAGGCCAUUUCCAUGGAGUUUAGUCAUUAUCUUCACCAAAUUUUUAUUUGCUUCAGUCUGGGGAGGAACUCUAUAUUAAAAAAUAAAAACAAACCCAAAAA
rnacentral:lncRNA from 1 species